AGUGAACGCUGGCGGUAGGCCUAACACAUGCGAGUCGAACGGCAGCACAGUAAGAGCUUGCUCUUACGGGUGGCGAGUGGCGGACGGGUGAGGAAUACAUCGGAAUCUACUUUUUCGUGGGGGAUAACGUAGGGAAACUUACGCUAAUACCGCAUACGACCUACGGGUGAAAGCAGGGGAUCUUCGGACCUUGCGCGAUUGAAUGAGCCGAUGUCGGAUUAGCUAGUUGGCGGGGUAAAGGCCCACCAAGGCGACGAUCCGUAGCUGGUCUGAGAGGAUGAUCAGCCACACUGGAACUGAGACACGGUCCAGACUCCUACGGGAGGCAGCAGUGGGGAAUAUUGGACAAUGGGCGCAAGCCUGAUCCAGCCAUACCGCGUGGGUGAAGAAGGCCUUCGGGUUGUAAAGCCCUCUUGUUGGGAAAGAAAAGCAGCAGGUUAAUACCCCGCUGUUCCGACGGUACCCAAAGAAUAAGCACCGGCUAACUUCGUG
rnacentral:rRNA from 1 species